rnacentral:rRNA from 1 species
AUACGUAGGGGGCAAGCGUUAUCCGGAUUUACUGGGUGUAAAGGGAGCGUAGACGGCAAUGCAAGUCUGAAGUGAAAGGACGGGGCUUAACCCUGUGACUGCUUUGGAAACUGUGUAGCUUGAGUGCCGGAGGGGUAAGCGGAAUUCCUAGUGUAGCGGUGAAAUGCGUAGAUAUUAGGAGGAACACCAGUGGCGAAGGCGGCUUACUGGACGGUAACUGACGUUGAGGCUCGAAAGCGUGGGGAGC